GACGAACGCUGGCGGCGUGCUUAACACAUGCAAGUCGAACGGAGUGUCCCAGACAGAGGUUUCGGCCAAUGGAAGGGAACACUUAGUGGCGGACUGGUGAGUAACGCGUGAGGAACCUGCCUUUCAGAGGGGGACAACAGUUGGAAACGACUGCUAAUACCGCAUGACGCAUUUGGGUGGCAUCACCUGAAUGCCAAAGAUUUAUCGCUGAAAGAUGGCCUCGCGUCUGAUUAGCUAGUUGGUGGGGUAACGGCCCACCAAGGCGACGGUCAGUAGCCGGACUGAGAGGUUGACCGGCCACAUUGGGACUGAGAUACGGCCCAGACUCCUACGGGAGGCAGCAGUGGGGAAUAUUGGGUAAUGGACGCAAGUCUGACCCAGCAACGCCGCGUGAAGGAAGAAGGCUUUCGGGUUGUAAACUUCUUUUGUCAGGGACGAGGAGAAGACGGUACCUGACGAAUAAGCCACGGCUAACUACGUGCCAGCAGCCGCGGUAAAU
rnacentral:rRNA from 1 species